UACGGAGGGUGCAAGCGUUAUCCGGAUUCACUGGGUUUAAAGGGUGCGUAGGUGGGCAGGUAAGUCAGUGGUGAAAUCUCCGGGCUUAACCCGGAAACUGCCAUUGAUACUAUCUGUCUUGAAUACCGUGGAGGUGAGCGGAAUAUGUCAUGUAGCGGUGAAAUGCUUAGAUAUGACAUAGAACACCAAUUGCGAAGGCAGCUCACUACGGGAAUAUUGACACUGAGGCACGAAAGCGUGGGGAUCAAACAGG
rnacentral:rRNA from 1 species